GAGCAGGAUCGCGGCCGUUUAUCGUGGCCUGUCAGGCAGUAAUGGAGCCGCAUGGGCGCGGGAUCCGCCGCAGAGAGUGGAGCAGUGUUGCGAUCGUUACUGCGGCCUGUCAGGGAGUGAUGGAGCUGCGCGGAGUCCGCCGCAGGAAGUGGAGCAGGAUCGUGGCCGUGAUUGUGGCCUGGGAGUGCAGAUCUGCUGGCUGAAGCUCGGCAGCGAUUGGAGUUCGGCCCUCGUAUGGAUCCGGGCAGAGUCCUCCUUGCGAUUGGGGUCGUGGGUGGAGCCCGGCUCCCGUGGGGGUCCGGACGGAGUCCGGACAUAGUCUGUCUGUGGCCGUCGAAGUUGAGGAUGGAGUCCGGCUCUCGUAGGAGCCCGGACGAAGUCC
rnacentral:lncRNA from 1 species